CUGCCUUUGAGUUCCAUUCCCUUUUCGAGUACAGUUUCUUGGCGACCACGAAGGGACCCUCGUGCCAUGACCAACUUCAAUGCAGAAUGGAUCAGAGAGGGGACGGUGAAUCCACCUAGCGUGCAAUCAUGGAGUUCUAAGCCCCUUACCGAACUCAGAGGGAUUGCUCGUCAUGUAGAGACUAUGAAACAGGACAAUGCAGCUAAGGUCCUGGUAGCCCAGGCACCAAGAAACUCCCUGAGGACCACUGAACUUGGAGAAUUGCCCAAUUGUCUUUGGAGCACAGGACCCUCAGCAAUUUAACUGAGAAUCCUGGAAUUUGUGCCUUAGGAGUUAUUGUGCCAGGAUUGUCUGUACAUCAAAACCUCUCUUUUUAUGGAUGGCAUGCCUUUGCUCUUGGUCUUUUUCCCCAUUGUGGGCAUGGAAAGUCUCUCCCGAUCCCUUUUCAAUCUCUCUGCUGAGCUCCGUCUCUUAGCCAACUACACAGGAGACUCCAUCACCGCCCUUCCGUCGGAGCUUUUGGCUCAUUUCAUUUUUAAGGAGGAAGAGAUAGCAUGCAAAAAGCAUAAUUAAACUGAGCAAUAAAGGACUUCAUAUUUU